rnacentral:tRNA from 1 species
GCGAGAAUGGCGGAAUUGGUAGACGCGCUGGACUUAGGAUCCAGUGGGGAAUCCCGUGGGGGUUCAAGUCCCCCUUCUCGCA